rnacentral:rRNA from 1 species
AGGACGAACGCUGGCGGCGUGCUUAACACAUGCAAGUCGAGCGGAAAGGCCUUUCGGGGUACUCGAGCGGCGAACGGGUGAGUAACACGUGAGUAAUCUGCCCAUCGCUUCAGGAUAGCCAUCGGAAACGGUGAUUAAUACUGGAUAUGACAUUCCUUCGCAUGUUGGGGUGUGGAAAGUUUUUUCGGCGGUGGAUGUGCUCGCGGCCUAUCAGCUUGUUGGUGGGGUAAUGGCCUACCAAGGCUUUGACGGGUAGCCGGCCUGAGAGGGUGACCGGCCACACUGGGACUGAGACACGGUCCAGACUCCUACGGGAGGCAGCAGUGGGGAAUAUUGGACAAUGGGCGAAAGCCUGAUCCAGCCAUGCCGCGUGUGUGAAGAAGGUCUUCGGAUUGAAAGCACUUUAAGUGGAGGAAGGUUGUAACUUAAUACGUUGCAACUUUGACGUUACCGACAGAAUAAGCACCGGCUAACUUCGUGCCAGCAGCCGC